UACGGAGGGAGCUAGCGUUAUUCGGAAUUACUGGGCGUAAAGCGCACGUAGGCGGCUUUGUAAGUAAGAGGUGAAAGCCUGGAGCUCAACUCCAGAACUGCCUUUUAGACUGCAUCGCUUGAAUCCAGGAGAGGUGAGUGGAAUUCCGAGUGUAGAGGUGAAAUUCGUAGAUAUUCGGAAGAACACCAGUGGCGAAGGCGGCUCACUGGACUGGUAUUGACGCUGAGGUGCGAAAGCGUGGGGAGCAAGCAGG
rnacentral:rRNA from 1 species